GGUUAAGCGACUAAGCGUACACGGUGGAUGCCCUGGCAGUCAGAGGCGAUGAAGGGCGUGCUAAUCUGCGAUAAGCGCCGGUAAGGUGAUAUGAACCGUUAUAACCGGCGAUACCCGAAUGGGGAAACCCAGUGUGACUCGUCACACUAUCAUUAACUGAAUCCAUAGGUUAAUGAGGCGAACCGGGGGAACUGAAACAUCUAAGUACCCCGAGGAAAAGAAAUCAACCGAGAUUCCCCCAGUAGCGGCGAGCGAACGGGGAGGAGCCCAGAGCCUGAAUCAGCAUGUGUGUUAGUGGAAGCGUCUGGAAAGGCGCGCGAUACAGGGUGACAGCCCCGUACACAAAAGCGCAUGUGCUGUGAGCUCGAUGAGUAGGGCGGGACACGUGGUAUCCUGUCUGAAUAUGGGGGGACCAUCCUCCAAGGCUAAAUACUCCUGACUGACCGAUAGUGAACCAGUACCGUGAGGGAAAGGCGAAAAGAACCCCGGCGAGGGGAGUGAAAAAGAACCUGAAACCGUGUACGUACAAGCAGUGGGAGCACAGGUUUACCUGUGUGACUGCGUACCUUUUGUAUAAUGGGUCAGCGACUUAUAUUCUGUAGCAAGGUUAACCGAAUAGGGGAGCCGGAGGGAAACCGAGUCUUAAUUGGGCGUUAAGUUGCAGGGUAUAGACCCGAAACCCGGUGAUCUAGCCAUGGGCAGGUUG
rnacentral:rRNA from 1 species